CCCGACGCGGGGCCCGAACCCACCAACCACGAGAUCAUGACCCGAGCCAAAGUCGGACACCGGGCCAACUGAGCCAUCCAGGCACCCCUGGGCUCUGCUGUUUUAAUGCAAAGGCCGCCAAUGUAAUAUGUAGGCCAUGAGAUGAGCUUCUAGAGGACAGGUCCCUCCAGAAUUCUGAUCUCCAGGCCCAAGGGAGGGAGACCCUCAUGGGGUCAGGGCUGCUGACGAGUGAAGGGAACAGGACUCGGUGGCCUGGUCAAAGAUGCUGACGGGGGGACGGGCUUGGAACACGCAAGUUCUGGGAGGUUAGUCUGCUCGCAGCUGGAUGGGAGGGGGACAUGAUACAUGGGUUUUCAGGGUGAUGCUAGGGAAGGGAGGCUUGGUGUAGUUCAACAGUAGGGAGCCUUGGGGGGUUCUUGAGCAGAAGAGUGGCUUAAUAGUAUUACUAUUUGGGGCAAGGGCCCUUCCUGGCUUUCGAGGCAUUCCUUGGAGUGUCCAGAUGAAAGUCCUGAACAAGCCAUUGGAAAGCCCACGUUCAAGUUCGGGUUCUGCCUUUCAACUUCCUGCGAGGGCCUUUUCCUCCUGGGGCCUCACCUUCCACAUCUGUCAAAUGGGAGCAAAUGACCCUUGCAGUGGGGGCCUCCUGGGUUUGCUCUAAAGGGCCAAAUAAAGCCUUGUGUCAAAGGACAUGUGAAGAGCAGAGAGGCAGGCUUGAAGGAUGAUGCUGACGGCACAGAAGUCUCGUUAGUGGGUAUUAAUAUGUGCUAGGCACCGCGGGGGUGGUGAAGGCCAGGAGGGGGAGGGCACAGGCUUGCAGAGAGCUGGCCUGUUUCCGUGUCCCCGGCCCCUGGCGCAACUUGGGCACCCUAGGUGUGAGGCACUGGCAUGAAGGGUGCAGAGGCCUGAAGCGGGGUGUGGAUGGGAACAGCUUGGAUCUCUGCGAGGUUGUUCUGAAGGAACCACAGCAAACCGUGGCAUCGUCCGCACGUGCCGUGCCCCCUGUUCUCUAGGAACUGGACAUCGAGCUCCCUGUGGCAGAUAACAUUUGGGCCUGAAUCCGAGCCGGAAGGCCCCCUCGUUUUACAAAUGGGGAAACUGAGGCCAGCAAGUGUCAGGGAUGGGCUCAGGGGCUCUCAGGCAGCCAGAGGCAGGCCGGUCCUGGCCCAGGCUGGGGCUCCACUGGAUUCUUCCCCAAGGGUCCCACCCAGACACUCUCCUGCAGCAUCAGAGAGUCCCGGCCACCAUGCCCUGUCCCUGGGAGACACAGAUGCCAGGACGUGCGGGGAGUUGGUGCCGCUAAUUAGUCACAUCAUUCUUGGCAUCUCACACAGCCUCGGGGAACUGGAGAAUGUCAUUGUCAAAGUAUUUUUGAAUAUUUGCCUUCUCAGCAAGUAGAUACUGUGAGAACACUCUGUCUUCCAUUCGGGCGGAUACUAACAGAAAUAACAAGCACCGUGAGCUAGAAGGAUCUGGGAGCUCGGGAGACAGGCCCGGAGGAAUCCCUGGUGCCGCCAGCCACGGCUGCAACACUCUGCCCUCUGGGCCUCGUGUCCUACCCUAAACUGGCUCAUUCACUCUUCAGAUAUUUAUGGAAGCCUGGUGUGUGCCCUGUACUUCUCUGGGCUCUGGAGGAACAACUGUGAACAAAACAGACAGGAAUCCCUGCCCUCAAGGGGCUGCCGUCCUAAGAGGGAGUCAGACAGUACAAAUCAAUAAGGGCCUGACGACCACAAAGCUAGCUUCUGCCUCUGUGGAUUUGCCUACUCUGGACAUUUCGCGGAAGUGGAGCCAGACCCCGUGUGACCUUGUGGGGCCGGUUCCAUUCCUGCGGCAUCGCAUCAAGGUCAUCCAUGAUGCAGCCUGUGUCGGGCGUGGUUCGUUUCUUGUCAGGACUCGGUCCCCCAUUCUUGGCCGGUUCUGAGUUGGACAGUCCCCACCCUGCUUCAUCAGGUGGCCUUGAGGAUGGUUAAGUGGGAUAGGAAAAAGCAGGUCCCCACGCCGCAGCGCAGAGUCGGGGCAUGGGCAGGAGCCGUAAAAGGGGCUCGUGGGUGCUUUUAGGGGGGGGUGUGGCAGUCGGCUUCGCCGUCAGCCAGCCUUCCUCCCGGGCGGGGGUCGGUGACCACGCGGCCAUCUGGGCUUCCGGGGUUUGCUGCCGUUGUCUGUCCUUCCGCUGUCUCUGUCUGUUCUGGUUCUGUGGGCCCCGGGCGGGACUGAGGGUAAAUGGAUAGGCUCUACCACCAUCUUUCCUUUCCUUCUAAGAACUUCUGAGGUUUCCGAAGCAACCCUUUGGGACGGGCCUCAUGCCCUCCUCGGAGGGGAAGUAGGGGCAGGGAGGCCUCCCAGAGGAGAGGGCCGUGGCCAGGUGACCGAGUGGGGCUGGCCUCAGUCUGUGCUCAGAAAAUGCGGGGCAUUUGGUGAAAGGGCUCUGAUGUCCCUCACUUUGCCCCCCAUCCCCUUCAAAGGACGCCUCCCUCCCGGGACACCCAUCCAGAAGCCACCUGCACUGAGGCCCACCAUGUGCCAGGCCAGCAGGGGAAGAUGCCAGUGAGCUAGCCAUGACGGCAGCAAGAGAGGAAGGACAGUGACUCUGGGGGUGGCCCCUCGGGUCACGACAGCCCUUCUCACGCCAGUGGCCACAGCGGCUCAGCGGGCCUUGCCUCCACCUGCGUCUCCCCCAGCAGCACCCCCGCUGGCGCCAUAAGGGGGACACAGGUGUACUGUCCCCGAGGCCAGCCACCGGCCAGGGACUGAAGCACACCCUGAGCAGGACAGACCUGGGCAGACAGACAGCUGGCCCCUGUGCUAGGGUGGAGUCUAGUGAGGGAGUGUUAAGGGGACAAAGAGGGCUGUAACUGUCAUGGAGA